rnacentral:rRNA from 1 species
AACGAACGCUGGCGGCAUGCCUAACACAUGCAAGUCGAACGAGACCUUCGGGUCUAGUGGCGCACGGGUGCGUAACGCGUGGGAACCUGCCCUUAGGCUCGGAAUAACUCCCCGAAAGGGGUGCUAAUACCGGAUAAUGUCUUCGGACCAAAGAUUUAUCGCCUUUGGAUGGGCCCGCGUUGGAUUAGCUAGUUGGUAGGGUAAAAGCCUACCAAGGCGACGAUCCAUAGCUGGUCUGAGAGGAUGAUCAACCACACUGGGACUGAGACACGGCCCAGACUCCUACGGGAGGCAGCAGUGGGGAAUAUUGGACAAUGGGCGAAAGCCUGAUCCAGCAAUGCCGCGUGAGUGAUGAAGGCCUUAGGGUUGUAAAGCUCUUUUACCCGGGAUGAUAAUGACAGUACCGGGAGAAUAAGCUCCGGCUAACUCCGUG